UUACAAGGACCUUGCCGUGCUUUCUUAGCGGAUUUAGCCGCUGGUGACGCUAAGAGAACGCGAGUCGCAAACGCGUUUUUCUCCUUUUUUAUGGCGGUUGGAAACGUUUUGGGAUACGCGGCUGGAUCGUACACUCACCUUCACAAGAUGUUUCCGUUCACAAUGACUAAAGCUUGCGAUAUCUAUUGCGCGAAUCUCAAGACUUGUUUCUUCUUAUCCAUCACUCUCCUCCUCAUCGUCACCGUCACGUCUCUUUGGUA
rnacentral:lncRNA from 1 species